rnacentral:rRNA from 1 species
UUUGAUCCUGGCUCAGGAUGAACGCUGGCGGCGUGCUUAACACAUGCAAGUCGAACGAUGAAGCCCAGCUUGCUGGGUGGAUUAGUGGCGAACGGGUGAGUAACACGUGAGUAACCUGCCCCUGACUCUGGGAUAAGCCCGGGAAACUGGGUCUAAUACCGGAUAUGACUUUUGACCGCAUGGUUGAGGGUGGAAAGAUUUAUCGGUUGGGGAUGGACUCGCGGCCUAUCAGCUUGUUGGUGAGGUAAUGGCUCACCAAGGCGACGACGGGUAGCCGGCCUGAGAGGGUGACCGGCCACACUGGGACUGAGACACGGCCCAGACUCCUACGGGAGGCAGCAGUGGGGAAUAUUGCACAAUGGGCGCAAGCCUAAUGCAGCGACGCCGCGUGAGGGAUGACGGCCUUCGGGUUGUAAACCUCUUUCAGUAGGGAAGAAGCGAGAGUGACGGUACCUGCAGAAGAAGCGCCGGCUAACUACGUGCCAGCAGCCGCGGUAAUA